UAACGAUGUCAUCAUCGGUAGUACCAGUAAAGUUGACAUAAAGACCAUAGAGCGUUCUUGGUAAAAUUGAAACAGCUGUUACGAUAAUGAUACAACUAAAGAUAAUCAUGUUAUUGCGCAUUCGCAAUGCUGCUCUCUUUUUCUGCUGAAGUUGUAAGUCAGUCAAGUUUCCGAUUACAUUUACCUGACGCCGAUUUCGAAUUAUUCUCAAAAUUACUACGACAUAACAGAAUACAAUCACUGCAACAAACAAGGCAUUUGGAACAUCUACAAAAAGAAGAAAACGUUUCUGUGCUUUAUAUUUCGGUCCACAUGAAAAUUCUUCGUGUUGGAUUUUUCCGAGAAACUCCAAGACACCUCGUACAAAGAAGUAAAUGUGUGAAAACAGAAAUCCUAGUCCUAUAGCAAUAUUACUCGUCAAAAGCGUCAACAAUUGUUUUGGUGUUCUGAAUAUCGCGUUUAAUCUGUGCAGGCACAUAAGGAUUGUC
rnacentral:lncRNA from 1 species